rnacentral:rRNA from 1 species
AAAUUCUGACAAUGGACCUCUUGGUUCUCGCAGCGAUGAAGAACGCAACAAAAUGCGAUAAGUAGUGUAAUUUACAGAAUAAGUGAAUAUUCGAACUUAUAUUGAACUUUUUUAGUUUACUACAAAAAUAUGUCUGUUUAAGUAUUA